rnacentral:rRNA from 1 species
AUGGAGAUUGGUUUCGAAGGGCUAAUGCAUCUAAAAAUUGCUCACAAGCUUAAUUUGAAAUUCAGUGCAUCCUUGAUGGUCCGAGUAGACCCACAUGAAUGCAUUUUAGCACUUGACCAAACAAGGAAAAUACCCAUUACAGACCAAGAAAUAAACGACGCAUUUGGUCUGCCGCAAGGAAGCAGGACCAUUCCUCAAGGUCACUCAGAUUUAUCUGAAGUUUGUAUAGAGUUCAGCAGGUUGGCUUCAACCAUUAGUACCAAAGGCGUGCAUAGUUUGAAGGCUGCUGAAUUUAUCUUAUCUAAGGCAGUAGAUGAGAAUUAA